CCUCGGAUGAGGAGCAACAAGCGAUAGCGGAGAAGAUCGAAAGCCUGCCUGCGGAGGAGCGGAAGGCCAAGGCCACGGCCGUCAGCAGCGGCCGCCUUCUCACUCAAGAAGACUUCCAGAAAAUCCGGCUGGCUCAGCUGAGCAAGGAACUCAAAUCUGCGCCUGGCAAGGCAGCCAAGAGGAAGAACGUAGAAAUAGACAGUGAAGAAGAAUCGAGGGGGGAGCUGCUCUCACUUAGAGACAUCGAACACCUCCAUAAAAAGCCUCGGUCUGAUAAAGAGACAAGAUUAGCCACCG